rnacentral:rRNA from 1 species
GGGUGCGUAACGCGUAUAGAACCUACCUUUUACAGAGGAAUAGCCUUUAGAAAUGAAGAUUAAUGCCUCAUAGUAUUGAGUAUUCGCAUGAAUAUUUAAUUAAAGAUUUAUCGGUAAAAGAUGGCUAUGCGUCCUAUUAGUUAGUUGGUAAGGUAACGGCUUACCAAGACAGCGAUAGGUAGGGGUCCUGAGAGGGAGAUCCCCCACACUGGUACUGAGACACGGACCAGACUCCUACGGGAGGCAGCAGUGAGGAAUAUUGGACAAUGGAGGAGACUCUGAUCCAGCCAUGCCGCGUGUAGGAAGAAUGCCCUAUGGGUUGUAAACUACUUUUAUACAGGAAGAAACACUGGUAUGUAUACCAGCUUGACGGUACUGUAAGAAUAAGGACCGGC